AAUCAUAGAUGAAAAUCGUCAAAUCUGAAAUUCAGAGGCAAUAGUGUAUUUGGGAUUAUCUCUGGAUAUCUGAGA